rnacentral:misc_RNA from 1 species
UCCGGUUUGGCACCGGCAGUCUCCCCAGAGUUCCCGGCAUGACCCGCUGGCAACUGAGGACAAGGGUUGCGCUCGUUGCGCCACUUAACCCAACACCUCACGGCACGAGCUGACGACAGCCAUGCAGCAUCUGUGCACGCUCCCUUGCGGGUCCAUUGCCGUUUCCGGUUCUUACCACCAGCAUGUCAAACCUGGGUAAGGUUCUUCGCGUUGCGUCGAAUUAAACCACAUGCUCCACCGCUUGUGCGGGCCCCCGUCAAUUCCUUUGAGUUUCAGCCUUGCGGCCGUACUCCCCAGGCGGGGUACUUCCUGCGUUAGCGCCGGCACCCAAGGGGUCGCUCCCCCAGGCACCUAGUACCCAUCGUUUACGGCGUGGACUAC